AGUGAACGCUGGCGGUAUGCCUAACACAUGCAAGUCGAACGGCAGCACAGUAAGAGCUUGCUCUUACGGGUGGCGAGUGGCGGACGGGUGAGGUAUACAUCGGAAUCUACUUUUUCGUGGGGGAUAACGUAGGGAAACUUACGCUAAUACCGCAUACGACCUACGGGUGAAAGCAGGGGAUCUUCGGACCUUGCGCGAUUGAAUGAGCCGAGGUCGGAUUAGCUAGUUGGCGGGGUAAAGGCCAACCAAGGCGACGAUGCGUAGCUGGUCUGAGAGGAUGAUCAGCCACACUGGAACUGAGACACGGUCCAGACUCCUACGGGAGGAAGCAGUGGGGAAUAUUGGACAAUGGGCGCAAGCCUGAUCCAGCCAUACCGCGUGGGUGAAGAAGGCCUUCGGGUUGCAAAGCCCUUUUGUUGGGAAAGAAAAGCAGCAGGUUAAUACCCCGCUGUUCUGACGGUACCCAAAGAAUAAGCACCGGCUAACUUCGUG
rnacentral:rRNA from 1 species